ensembl:lncRNA
GUGUGCACGAGCUCGUGUCGGCUGGAGGGAGGUGUGGAUCCACUACCCUUUGCUAAGGGCCACCUUGCUUCCCCAUAGGCAGAUACGUGCUCUUGCACAUGGCCUGGCCAUCUGCAGUCUAAUUCACCCUGCAUCUCACCUGAUGCCAUACCUCCCUUCCCUAAAUAAAAGAGCUGGGAAGCAGCAUGGCAUUGAGAACCAGCCCUGGGUAGCAGAUCAGAGGAGCCUGAGCUCACAUGGUCACACUAGAUGUUAAGCAGGCUUAUUUCCCCUGUGCUCUCCCAUGCUGUCCCAUCUGCACAGGCUGGUAUCUGCAUCCUUGCUUCCUGUUGAUCACACACACUUCAGUGACCGCACUGAUGGCAUCCAUCAACCAGUCAAGGCUCUACAUGUCUCCAGACAGCCGUUAUUCCAAUUCCACAUCGCUACCCUGGAAAAAAAGUCCUCAGCUCCUCUCUAGAGAGGGGUGGGAAUCAAAACAUUGACAACAAUAUACGGCCACAGCUACUAAAGUAACUUUACUGAGGAUGGGCUCGUGCCUAGCUGUACCCUGUGCCCUUUCAGUUUGCCUGAAGAGGGCAUGUGGCUCCUCUGUUCCUGUCUAAACACACAGGAAACCGGCCAGCUGCAUGAUCUGACGCUCUAAAUUUGAGCAGCAUCUUCACUGCUUCAUCCUGCCUCUGCAGAGCAGGCAGCGAGCACGCACCUGCAGCUCCGGUUUUGCCUCUUGCUGAGGUCACCAGUUUGUCAUCCGCAGCCCUGAAUGCUGCGCAGCAAGGAGGAGCACGUCUGCGAGUGCAUUCCUGCAGAAGAGGGGAAAUGCAGGGUGGAGCAGCAACCAGCAGCUGACACUGUUUGCUAUGCACUUGCUCACCACGAGGCUCAGGACGCUGCCCGCUCCUUGAAUGUUUCCUUGAUUACUUAUUCCCAGCAUACUCACACACACAAACACACACUCACCCGCUUCUCUCAGAAGACUGGAAGGACGGGCUACCAGGAAAACAAUAGCAUUUCUCCCACUCGCAGCUGUGUGACAUUUGUUUUUGUUUCUCCAGGUGGCUUUUCUGUGCUAGCAGAACAUCUCACUCCUCAGAUUUUGACUUCUCUUGCCUCUUCUUGUCGGUGUUGGACACGGCCAUCAGUAGACACAGUUCUGAGCAAUCACCGAGGAAGGUUUUUCUUAUGCACUGUGGUAAUUGUGUCAGAACUCAAGGCAGUCCCACCGGUGUUCAGGUUUCAUCUGCCAUUCCCAGAGGAUUUCAUUACUCCCGCACAACCCUUUUUUCCUAGCAAGAUUUCACAUUGCCAGCGUGGACUUACCAAAUUGAUUCCCCGGAAGAAAAUAUCACGAUUAUAUUCACAAAGCUGAGAGGAAGACAGCCACUUUUUAUUCGCUCAUAAAGGAUGUGGGAGUCCUGGGUUUAAUUUCCUCCUCUGCCUGGGGGAACUAGAACCAGCAUCACUUAUCUCCCAAGAGAAUGCCAUAAGGUUGUGCUGUGCUGCAUACUAAGAACCUCACAGGACUGUGCCCCGUUGGCCACCAGACUAGAGGGACAGCCUCUCAGCUCCACUAUCCCCCUGUGAGUGGGAUCCCUUCUUCUCACUUCUCUUUUGGGUGCUUGAAUGUUUUGCUUUCAAUUAAAUGCAAUUUUCACUGUGAAAUACAGCUAUUCCUUUGCAGUUUUUCAGCAAGAGACAUAAAACCUAACCAGACUCAUCUGUUCCUACUGAGGUGAUGUUUUCUUCUUUCCUGCUGAACCAAACAGCACUUAUUCAUAUCUCGCUGCUAUUUUUAAGAGUGGGGCCCAGCUGUAUGGCAUUCAGAAGCACCACUAAAACUUCAACAGCAGAGUACACAUCAUAGUACAUUCUGGUUAGAGAAAUGACUGGCAGUCAUUUUUGCAAUGAGUGCUGUCUGUAUCGAUGCAUGUGUGCGUAUUUAUUACAUUAGUCACCUCCGCUACUAGAAUGACUUGCAAUUAAGAUUGCUGUAGUACCUGAAAUGUCACAUUGCUUGC